GCAUCAAUCGAAAGAUGGUUCUCAAACCAAAUCUCGUGACUCGGACGAUCGUCGUUAUCACUCGCUAUCAAAUAGCGUCAUCUCAAACACUGGAUCUAUGGUCUCAAAUUAUUUGGCAUCUACCAGUAUCGGGCGUCUAUACCCGCACGCCUUCCCACAGAACUCGAGCCUCGCACGAGGUGAUCACAGACGGACAUUCGCUACCAUAUGCCGCAAUGACUCGAGUGGCCAUCUUUCGCCUGGCACGAGCCAAAGUAACAAUGUUAAUAAACUUCGGUUUGGAUCGCGUAAAAUCUUAGCCAAUAGAAACACGUAUCACGUGUCCGAUAGCGAUACGAGAUUUUCCGAUUCCGAUACCACUUGUCUCGAGUCGCAUUUUAAUCCGCACUUACGACGAACAUUAAGUGCCAGCGGUCUCGCGUGUAAGUUACAACCGAAUUCUGGGAAAGUUCGUACCGGAAAUACGUCAUCAGUUAUACCUCCUGGUAUAAUUUCACUACAGAAUACAUCAAGUACUGGGGUAAAGGUAACCGCACACAAGUCGCCUCUCGGGCUCAGUGUGAUCUCAGGACCCGCUCCGAUAUCGUAUAAGAGUAUCACCAAGGCUGGGGGACAUACGGGAAAUAUUGGAAGGUAAGGGUGUUUGGGGAAUUAGAAUAUACAUAUAUGUGUCACUAGUUGCAUAUUUUCCUGUUCAAUAAUGCUAGUGGUGUUGCUUUGUCAUGAGGUAAAGUAAUAUCCCUCUUAUAAAUCACAACUAAUUCACGUAAAACAAGCCUUGUUCUAUUCAAGUCAAACCUGAAUUAUACUCAUUUGGCGGCGGUUUGUUUGAAAGCUGAUAAACUUAACCAUACGUUAACCUGGGAAUGAGGUCAGGUUAGCCUAAACUUCGUAGCAAACUUGUCUUCCCAACGAUUUUUUCAUAACUUUGGAAAUAUUUCUUUACAAUUUUCUUCUCUAAGUUUGAAAAUAAACAGAUGUGCAGAGAUACAUAAACUAAAAAACAGCAGGUUAAAUUCUGACCAAGGGGCAAGGGUUAGCGCUAAACAAGCUUUCAACAACUGCACGGUUCCCGAUAUUGAAUGGUAUUGGUGAGGGAGCCGGGUUUGAUUUUUACGAUACCCUCAUCUGUAUGUGAGAAGAGUAGUGACUCUACCAAAACAUUGGAACAAUACCAGGGCUGCAAAUUGACUCUACCAAAACAUUGAAACAAUAGUGAAUACGGAACCGGAAUGAUGUAUGUUGUAUAUUUGAUUUAGGUCAAGUAAACUAGGUCAACGUAUUAGAUCAACGUCCAGUGACCCGUCGUGUAAGGUUAGUAUAUCCGCUUUUCAAACCCAGAAAAAGUGGUUUAAUAAUUAGGGACCGCUCAUUAUUUAUGGCUGAGUGUGGCGCCGAGGAGAAAAGGGUUGGAUAAACAAAUUUUUGAGUAAGGCCAAAAAAAAAGUAUGUGGGUUUCCGGUUUCCCGACCCUACCUAGCUUUUCGACGUCGAAAUCCCGACCCUAAACGUUUUUAUUGGAUCAUGCCUCAGUGGAUCAUGCUUGUAAGUGUUUCCACUUAGAGGAAAAGUUUGUGGAAAAUUGAAAUUUGAGGCAAUAUUAGGGAAAUUUAUCUUUGGAUGUGGAAGCACUGACUAAACAAAAUGGCGUCCGCUUAUUCGGAAAAUUAAAAAAAAAGUUUAAAAAAAAAGUCAAAACCGACCUACCCUACCAGAAUUCCUACCUCUGUACCCUACCUAAGUUUUUAUAAGAAGAAACCGGAAACCCACAUAUUUUUUUGGCCUAAGUAAACGGUUGGGUAAAUGAAAAACAAAACAACUCAGUGGUUGGGUAAUAAAAAUUUCUUGUCAUUUCCAAAGCAUGACUUAGGCGUAAAAAAAUACCUGUGGUUCCGAUUCCCGACCGACCCUAUUUUUUUCUGCCGACCCUAUUAUUUUUUCAACGCGAUUGACCAUGCGACCCUAUUUUCUCCAGGUGGUUGCGGGCUGCUCAUACAGCGUGCCAAAAUGGCGUCUGUUGUCACUAUAAUUAUUGAACCAAAUUGCCUAAAUUCGUCCAUAGGAAAUACGCACCUCUAGUUAAUAUUGAUGUCGGGACUCUACUGCAAAUCGCCCAGCAAAAAAACCCCGGCAAAACCAUGAAAAAAAUAUUCAAAAAAAAAAUUAUUUCCGACCUACCGACCCUAAUUUUUUCACGAUAUGAAACCGGAACCACAGGUAUUUUUUUUACGCCUUACUCAAAUAAUGAAGCAAUGUCAACAGUCAUAUGUCAAUAUCAACAGUCAUAUGUCUUGAUCAUUUUUCGAUUUGUUAGGAACUAGGCAAAUGGUGUCUGCAUAUCUGCAAUGAAAGUAUAUGUGCAGAUCGACAACAUGAAACUCCAAACUGCAGAUAAUUGUACAAGCAAAACUCAUGACACAGAAGUGGUAAAGGGCAUGUGUGAAAACUGAACAGCAUCCUUUUGUAAAGUUUUUGGCCAGGGGUGGGUAUUUAUUUUCAGUAAUUGAUAUUCAACUUUUCAGGGGGGGGAUAACUUUUUAAUGAUUGGAUCAAGAAAAGUUUCAAGCCAAUAAAAACAUUUCUCUUUGGUACCACCUCAGUCAUAAAUAAUAACUAGUCACUUACUCAUUCACAGCAUUGUUUCUGAAUUAUUUUUUUAUUUUAUCUAGCAUCUUGAAGUAAGGGACCAUCACGCUGUGGUUUUGAGCUAGCGUUUCAAAAGUCGUGCAUGCAAAGAUACUUUUCUACAUCUAGUAUAACUAGUUUUUUAUAUAUAAAUUAUAUUUUUAACAACCGAAAAAAACAAAUUAUACCUAAACAUAAAUAAAUUUUG
rnacentral:lncRNA from 1 species